AGUGGGCCGCCUGGGUCCGGGUGGGCGGUACUCGGAGGGUUCGCCCCAUAGCAGCUCUCAUCAUCUGGAGCUGAACGUCAUCAACGUUCUUCAUAUGGGCUGUGCUUCUGAAUAAGAGCGUCUCCUACAGCCUCUGCAUGUUCUGUGUCACUGUAGAGGAGUUCCAGCUGCUCACGGGUGAGGUUGGUCCUGAAUGCGAUUAAUAAAGCUUUACUUGAUCUGAGACUGGCCUACUUAAGUGACGUUUACCCCAACUGCGAUGGUGACAGCCCAAUUUCUAGUGCUCUGUGUUUUAAUUUUUUAGAAGAGAUGGGAUAACUGGGCCUUGUGUGUCUUUUAGUAAGAAGGAAAUGCAGGUUCUAAUGACUGUAAGCAUGCUAAAGAAGUCCCUGGUUUGGGAGGAGACUUUUGUGUGACAUACUUGUUGAGCAGAGAAGAACUGGGCAGGAGCAUUGCAUGUGUCCUGGAAAGCUGAUUGAUUGAGUCUGACAGCUUGUACCAUACUGCUGAUUCUACCGGGAGCGUGGCACAGGCAUCUGCAUAAGCUGCGUGAAAUUUAUUUACACGCACAGUUAGCUAUUAACUGUGUUGUCUGUGUAUCUGUCAGUUUUCUGUGUCCAAACUAAGGACUCUACUGCUGAUAUUUGAGAGAAAAUUAAAAAAAAAAAAAAAAUCAAACAGAGCUCUUAAUUGUUUCCCACCAACUUUCACUUUUCCACAGGUAACAUCUUCCUUUUCCUAAUUCCUUUUCAACUGUUGGUCAUGGCCUUCCCUCCUUAGUCUGGGUAUUUAAGCAGUAUCUGAAUUUUGUUGAUUUCUUUCCAGCCGCACUUUAUGUUCCCAACUAAGCUCUCAAAAUGACUAUAGCAGUUUUUUCCCUUACUGAGUUUGACAACCAUUCCUACACUUCUCUAAUUUCCACUGAAAUUGUUCAGGAAAGACAUCCCUUCUCCUGUGUUGCUCUGAUGUCUGAAAGACCGAGGUUGACUGGGACCCUUGGAGGUUACCUGAUCACUCUACUGAGGCAAGGGCCACCUAGAGUGGGUACACUAGGUAUCCAAGUGGCUUUUGAAGAUCUCCAAAAAGGAGACCCCACUGUAUCUCUGCCUGUGCUCCAUCACUCCCACAUCUCAGAAGUGCUUUCCAGUGUUCAGAGGGAACCUCUUGUGCUCCAGUUUGUGCCAGUUCCCUCUGAUCAUGGCACUGGGCACCAUUGAGAAGAGUCUGGCUCCAUUUUCUCUGUACCUUCUUCUCAGGUGUUUAUAUACAGUAAUGAGAUCCUUCUGAGCCUUUUCUUUACUAGUCUGAACAGUCCCAGCUCUCUCACUCUCUCAUCAUGUGUGAGAUGCUUCUUAGUCAUAGUGCUCAGUGGUCCUUUGCUGGACUCUCUUCACUAGCUCAAUUUCUCUCUUGUUACUGACGCUGUUGAGAAGCUGACUGUUGGGGAUGUUGAGAUGGCAGCUCUCAGUGCCUGCCUGUUUCUCAAGCAUGUUUGUACUGGGUGUUGAAUAUAGAAAAAGAUUUCUGUAAGUGUCCCAAAGCUCACAAGACUUUUUUUUUUUCAAACCUGUGCUGUACAUCUAUUGAAAACUGACUCUAAAAACUGAGCUAACAUUGUAAUAGGCAUUUGAACAAGGAACUCUGGGCUAGUGGUGUGUUUAAGUAUCAGAAGAAUAAACAAUUAGUAUCCUUUAACCAGGGGUGUCACAAAAUCAGCAGACCAUGAGAAAGACGUUAAUCAGGAUGGUUUGAGGAUGUUGCCAGCUUGGCAAGAAAACUCAAGGUCUGUGUAUGCUCAGCUGAACUACCUUCAUUAUAAUGUUAAAAGUCACACUCAUAGAUUGAAAAGACCCCUGCCCAGGUGCAUGCAUAGUAGAGGAAGUAUACAGUCAACAAUAUUAUUAUUAUAUAAAAAUUACUAACCAGUCAUCACAAAGAGGAUGGGCUGGAAAAAUUAUUAGCUUUGCGAGUUUUGUGUAUAACUAUAGUGGUGGUAGUUCUGUUUGGUGUGUUUGAUUUGUGGGAAACCAUCCAGCAUCUAGGCUUGCACAAAUCUGGAAUAAAUAAAGAAUGUCUCUCCUGAAUGUGUGAUUACUGACCUCGCACAUCAGGCUGUUAAUCUGUUUUUUGAACAACACCUCUACUUCCCUUUUGACAGCACUUGGGCUUCUGUCCCAGUGGUCUUUUUAGUCUUGUACUGUACCUAUCCAUCUGCUUCUGUCUUGAGAGGGAGCACUUCAGACCUGCACACUCUCACAAUUACUGCUGCGAUGCAAUUAAGGCCUGUUGCAUUCGCAAGCAAUGAGCAUGAAUUUUGCAAGUAAUAAUCUCUUCCACUCAUGCUGUUUUUAAGAUAUUCCUUGUCAGCGUAAGAAAUGUUCUAUCUCCAACACUCCCCAUAUUGGUAUAAAUUGAGUUAUUUUGCACAGCUUUCCAACUUUACGUUUUUUGUCUUCUGAAUGUAGCCUCAAGUUUCCUGUUUCACAGGCACUCAGCACUCAGCAGCCUGAUUGCAACAUCUUGUCAUGCACUCUUUGCUUUGCUGUGUGGGAAAGCAGAUUGGAGACUUCUUCAGCAGAAGCAAGUGUGGAAAUAAUCUUUAUUGUCAAAUUCUCCCCUACUACUUCUCAAAAAGACAAAACUAGACAGGAAAGGAGAGGUAAGGAAGCUGGGUUUUACUUCUAGCAAAAGUGAGAUCUAAUGAAAACAUUAAAGCGGAUGAGUCAGUGACCUGGUGAAUGUUCCCCUCUCUCCCUUCCUACUUUCACUACUCCUCUCCCUUCAUUCCUCAUUCUGUCAAGCCCUUUUCAGUGUCUACUAUUGAGCAUUUAAUCCCCUUUCUUCAGAAGAGGCUUGCACUUUUCAAGUUGUCAGCAGCAGUAAGAAAUUGUCAUCAAUAACUCUUCGAAUGGCAGAUGAGAUGUGAGUAAGUAAUAAAUUAGAGGCAUUUACUAAUUAGAAAUCAGAGACAGAAGAGGUCUAUGAGAUCGUCUAGUCUUUCUCUGUUGUGUGUCUGUGUAAUUCUUCUGAUAAGCUUCUUCCUGCGUUGUCUCUCUUCUAGUUUUACAUACUUCCCAAUAAGCAAUUUUCCAGCUUGAAACAGUCCUGUAGGAUAGUUUAUUAUCAGGAAGAUUUUGUUAGUGCUUUCCUUACAUUUCUGCUCCAUUCUCUCUGUUUAGGCCUAGCAAAUGUCACACUGAACAAUUUCUCUUAGUUGAGAAAUCUCACCUUGGAAGAGUGAGAUAUUUUGCAUUGAUGGUCAUCUUUUUAUAAACGUUUCCUUCUCCUGAGCUGAUUGCUUUUCCUGUAAAUGUUUAUGUGUUUAAGCAAACUACUAGCUGACCUUAGCUAUUUUUUCAGAGCUGUUACAGCAAAGAGGACUCUUUGGGAUAGUAGAUGUCUGUGCCCUGCUCAGAAUAUUUGUGUAUGUAUGUGGUUGGCACAGAACCCCCAGAGUUUGUAUCCAACAAUCUCACUCCAUUGACUUGGGAGGCAAUCUUGUGUUUGCAGAUGCUUUCAUCAGAAAACACAUCUUCAAAUGCAUCAGAAAAUGCAGGGGCAUCAUUUAAUUCUCCACUGUUUGUGUUCAUCCCAAUCCUGCUAGAGAUGGGAAUUUCAGGAUGCUGCGUUGGGAUGUUUGCAGUUUUCCUUUUAAUACUCCUCCUAUCCAAAUUGCUUAGGCAUUUUUUUUUUGUGUGUGUGUGUUAAAAUCAAGAGCCUGAAAGAGCUGAUAUUUUAACAGAAUUUCUAUGCCUAUUAUUUAUUUCUCAGCUCUCUUCUGCAUGCAGGAAGUCCCUAAGGAGAGCAGUUUAAGUAACUUUCUUUAGAAGACCUUUGUUUUCAAAACAUGCUCCACUCCUCCAUCUCCCUGCCCCCAUCACUUUUGAGAGAUGUGCUCUCACGUUUUUAUUUCUGUUUUCAAAUGCACUAAAUCAUUUCUGUGACCAGUAUCAUAGGUGUAUCACAGGUACAUAGAUCAGUCCUCUGGUCAACCAGCUGGUAUUUUCUCACAUGGGCUCUCCAAAAAUGAGUAGCUAUACUAGCUGUGUCCUUUCUGGCUGUUGGAGAGCCUGAAAUAUUCUACACUACACCAAAAUACAAGUCCUGUGGUCACUUAAAACAGUGUUAGACUGUGUGACAUGCUUGUAGUAACAGCGAGUUACCAGGUUUGUGCCAUAUGAUGGGGUUCUUGUUUCUCCCAUCCUCUACUCCCCCUGGUUUCACAUAGAUAAAUUGCCCCCAUACUGACACAGGUACCAGCUGAGGGAAUUUAUCUGGGACAGUGCAAUGAAAUUCUUAGGAUGGUCCUAGAAGACUUGAAUUAUAAAAUGCUAGCAACUUUCAGUUUUUUAACCAAAUCUAAACUCCCCGACCUAAAUAUAGUGGGUUACAAUGCUUGCAGAUGAAUGCUGUUAUAUCACAGUAAUCAUAUCAGAGCUCUGAUAGAACUAAAUGGGAUAUAUAUAUAUAUAUAUAUAUAUAUUUUUUUUUGGUACUAGCAAGCUAUAACAUUGGAUAUUUACAUUAAAUAUCCACCAGGAAUCCUCUCCUUAUGCUUUGGGAAUCUUUUCCACAGUUCCCCAAAUGACAACAUGCAAAUAUGUCUGGGUGCUCCACUCAGAUAUCCUUCCUCUUUUCAAGCUCAUCUCAUAGGUACUUUGCUCUCAGUUUUCUACAAGGGCUUCUUCAUGUGGUACUCCCAAUGGUUGAGAACCAAGAAGAAACUCGUGAACCUGUCUUAGGAAGAGGGAAUGCAAGUAAUAAUAGUCUUGAUUUAUGAAUUUUUUUAUUUCACUUCCCUGAGUUGAUCAUUGCAACUCAAGUGAGGCUCAAAUUAAGGUUGAACACUUCAGUAUAAAUUUGCCUCCUUCACUUUCUUUUUUUCCUCCACAAAAUUAUUUAAUGGUAUAGUUUUUUAGUUUUUUUGUUUUGUUUUAAAAACUGAAGAGAACUCUCCCACUGCUCUGGUUUGUAGAGGUGCUCUGAGAUUUUUAGUGCUAAUUUGCUGAAUAAGUUUUUUUUCUUUUUUUCUGUAGUUGCUUUGAAACAAUAGAGUGAACUGCUCUACUUCUUGCCAGUAGGUACCAGCUCAGAUGGCAUUUAAGAAUUAACUGUUUCACUGACAUUCCUAUAGCCUUCUCCUGGGAGCAGUUUCCCCUAAAAGCAGGAGCCUGAAGAAUGCAAGAGAUGCUUACUUUCAGAGGCAACAGGAGAAUAAAAACACAGUUAUAAAAUUGCCCAGGUAAGUUGUAAAGUCUCUCUUCUUGGAGGUCUUCAAAAGCUGCCUGGGUGUGGUCCUAGGCAAACUGCUUUGGAUGUCCCUGCUUGAGCAAGGUUUGGACCAGAUGGACUCACACCUUUACCUGUCUUGGAUUCUGUGAUCUGCAGAGAACAUCUACACCGCCUUUAAGUACAGUUGAUUCUAUUCACUUGAGGCUCAAUUUGAUUAUUUGAUUGAUUAAAAGUAUGUCACUAGAGAUGCGAAGGUGACUUUACAAGAGCAAGCAGACACAGAGAACAGCUGCAGAGUUCAAGUUCUUCGGUUCUCCCACUGUUCUCCCAUGUGCAAAGGUGAGAGUCAUUCUAUAUGACGUAACAGGAAAUAUAUAUGGUUUUAUCUUUAUCUUUUAAUCUAUGAGUGAGGCAGCUAGAAGAUUCUGCAAGUCCAUGUAAUCAAAAAUAGGAUAGAAUAGCUCAGUUGGAAGGGAACUUCAAAGAUCGCCUAGUUCAACUGUUCCAGACUGACUGGCUUCUAGAAAUGCUACAGAACCUUUGCCUUAGGAAAGAUCUUUCUAUCAGGAAGAUAGUGCUUAGAAUUAAACUCCGUCACAUUGUACCUUGUUUCUCUUGAAGUUUUUUAAGCCAAAACCACAGGUCUAAAUGUAAUGCUAUAAAACAGAAACAAGUUUUAAAACAACUGACUCUGAAAACCUCUCUAAGAAUAAAAAUAGAUUAAUAGAAACAGAUCACCUCAGAUGGCUCUGAGUACAAAACAUUGGAAUGAACUGUCAUGAGUGGAAACAUUUCCCUGAGAAUGGCCAAUAGCUAACUUCCAGGGGAAGAUCUUAGUAGCAGGCUAAAUAUGUAGCAAUAGGUCCCUACAAUAAUCUCUUUCUCUUCCUAAAAUUUCACAUUUAUUUGCCAGAGUUCAUGAUCUGGUCUAUUGUCUUUAUUUGAACUAAGCUUUCAAUUCUCAAAGCUGGUAUUCUUGUUUUUAAGUUGAGCCCCUUCCCCUUCUGUUUUAGCACUGACUUUCUUUUGUGCUUUCAUAGUAUUCUUGAUAUAUCAUAUGUGUUUGUUUUCAUCCUCUAGCGAGGGAUCCUAAAAUAGUCUCUCCUAAUGAAGUUUUCCCUAAAGAACAAGUAUUUUGUUCCUUUAGCCAUGCCUUUUAAUUUCUCUUUGAAAAACUUCCUCAUUUGCCCGUAGCUUUCUCUUUUGAAGUUGUUACAUCAUUGUGCUUCCAUCACCUGCCCUUCCACUCCCCUCUUUCUGCUGAAACUCUGUAUAUUUGUGGUCAGUGUGACAGAGAAGCUGCUGGAUUGAAUUGUGCUAAGCCAGGGCCUGUACACAGUUCACAGCAGUCACAAGCUGAUCCUAUUUCCAUGUGUUUCCUGACUUGCCACUCUUGAGCUGGUUUGCUAAUACGUGAUUGCUUUCACAAUCCUCAUCUUACAGUCUGUAAUAUAAUUCUGUUCCUGUGUAUUUAGUAGUAUUUGCCCAGUCUGUGAGGUUCCUGUUACUACUACAUAUUAAUGCAGUUCAUUUAAUAACCUACCUUGAUCUUAAUUUUAAUUGGAUGGAGAAUAGCCUUCUCAGUCUUCCCUAUGUAUUUUGUAUCCCAUUGUUCUGAUAUCCUACUCGUAGCCCAUCUCCAACCAAGUCUCUGAUGUGCUUGUUGUGGCAGUGUAUUUGGUAUUCUCCUUCCUCCAUUUUAUUCCCUAGACUUCUAGUAUAUAUAUAUAUAUAUAUAUAUUUUAUAAUAUAUUUCUUUGGGUUUUGUGACACAAUCCAUAGAGAAGCGCCUGAGAUUUCAUGAGUUCUACUGGAGACUUUGCAGUUCCAGGAGGAUCUGCUCCAUGAUCUUCCCAAGCACAGAGAACCCUAGGAUGGAUAUCGUCUGCACCCAUGGACUUACAAACAUUCAGUUUCAUGAGGUUUUGGACGUGUUCCACUGUUACAGUGGGAUGGAAUCCUCUCCCCACACCUUCACCUAAAGGUUCAGGACCCUGGCAGACAUGGGAAACCUGACCACCAGCGAAGACUGAGGCAAAGCAGUCAUUGAGUAGCUCAGCUUUUUCUAUGUCUGAGGAAGCCAGCUCUCCAUUGCCUUUAAUCAGAGGCGGGAUUUGCUUUUAGACUGGCAAAUGUUACUUCAGUGGAAGAGUGUUUUCAAGCAAUAAACUACACUGCACCACAGCAUAACCUCACUAACACAGACAUGUAUUAUAAUCAUACAAGCAGUGCUUCCUUUAAUCACAUCUGCAUGAUUCUCCCUUGGGGAUGGUUCUUUCUUUGUGGAACAGAGUAACAUAUUCAUACUUAUCUGUAAAUACCACUGCUACGUAUCAAUGAAGGGGAAGAAGCUGAAUUUUUUUUUUAGAUGAAGUCUGUGAAAUGUAGAAUGCACUGGAACAAAAAAAUUGCUAAGGAAAUAAAAGCACUAUACUUAUUAUGUAGGAGAGGUGUGUAGCAUAACAUAGAAGGGAAACAUUAUAAGUAGCUCAGAGAGAUAGAUGAUUUAGGUCCUGUAGCAGAACAAACAUGGAGGAGGGCUCCAAGGACUGCCUUUUAAGGCAGACAGUAAGACCCAGUAAUUGUGAAAGUGCCAAUCAUGGAAAGGAUUGGCAGGAGCAUAUAGAGAGGAUGCAGAUGAGGGAGCUUAGGUAAUGGUAGCUAUUAUUAGGAUUCAGUAUCCAGACUGGAAUGAUUUACUUUGUUGACAUAUCAGAAAAGAAAUUUUGGCAAGUGCGAAGGAAGAAGCAGAAAGAACUCCUGCUCACUGAGACAGCUGUAAACAUACCACACUAAGAACCAUAGCUCUUCCCUCCUGUAAUCAUACCUAAUGGUAAUCAUGUUGAAAUGCCUUUGUGUGAGGGACUGACUGUAAUGAUAAGGUUAACCACUUGUAGUGUGUGAAAGCAGCAGUACUCCCAACCUCACUAAUAGAUGUACCUGUGAUGAGCACCUGUAGCCACAAAGCUCAGCACUUUGGCGUGCAUGCUUGCCAAAACCAUUAAUGUUACUUCGCAAGCUAGUGGUUCCGUUGACCAUUGCCUGUUAGUAGCACAAGAACUUAGUUGAUUAGUUUCUGCAUGGAAAAGUUACCUGUGCAUUUAGCAACUCAGAUGACUCCUUACAAGCUGUGAAGGUGCAUAAACCUUCAAAUCUGAAGAACUUGGGGUUACUGGUGGAUGGGGGAAGCUAAAUCUGAGCCAGCAAUGUGCCCCCACUUUGCCCAGGAAGUCAACAAUAUCCUGGGCUGCAUCAAAAGAAGCGUGGCCAGUAGGUUGAGGGAGGUGAUCCUCCUCCUGUAUUCACCAUGUGCUGGUGAGGCCUCAUCUGGAGUACUGCAUCCAGAUGUGGAGUCCUCAGGAGAGACAUAGACCCAUUGGAGCAUGUGCAGAGGAGCAUCACAAAAAUGAACCAAAGGAUGGAAUGCCUCUCCUACAAGGUCAGGCUGAAAGACCUGAGGCUGUCAGUGUCUAAAGGGGAGCUACAGGAAAGAAGGGGGCUGACUCUUUAGUAGGGUCUGUGGUGAUAGGACAAGGGGAAAUGGUUUCAAACUUAGAAGAAGAAGAAAGAAGAAGGGCAAAUCCUCAGAACGUCACAGAAUCCACAGUGGUGACUUACUUUUCUCUCAUUUUUUCUCUCCUUUUCUUCUCUUUUUCCUUGCUUACUCAUCUUUUAAUAAAUAAAGCUACAUUUAUCGAUCAACAUCUUGACUUGAUUCUGAGUCUUAAUUCAGAAACUUUGGGAUUAA